CAUCACCAUGGAGUUGACGCAAAGACAGCAUUAAACCCCGAGCCAAAGAGAUCUUGUGUAAGGCUAAAGCAAAAUAAGCAAGAUGACUGCUUCUCUUGUCCCAGUGGCCCAGUGCUGGUAUUACAAGUGGCCACCACACCUUUUGGCUUUGGCAUGGGACUUGGAAAAUGAACUCCUGUCUUUAUUCUCUUGCAGCAAGAGUUUUAUUCAUCGAGCCAUUUCUUGCCCAGUUCUUAGACUUGAGAUUUUACUGCAAGAGUCUCUUAAAGUAUUGCUGAAACUGAUUGGAGUUCAUAGAAUCAGUUGUUCUGUUGGUGGGUGAUGCCAUUGGUUUAUGGAGUCAGUUUCUGUUCCUAAUGGUGUGGAACUAGAUUUACAUUCUUCAUUUACUAAAAUGCAAAUAAAACAUCUUAAGUAUACUCUAA